rnacentral:rRNA from 1 species
UACGUAGGGUGCGAGCGUUGUCCGGAAUUACUGGGCGUAAAGAGCUCGUAGGUGGUUUGUCGCGUUGUUCGUGAAAACUCACAACUCAAUUGUGGGCGUGCGGGCGAUACGGGCAGACUGGAGUACUGCAGGGGAGACUGGAAUUCCUGGUGUAGCGGUGGAAUGCGCAGAUAUCAGGAGGAACACCGGUGGCGAAGGCGGGUCUCUGGGCAGUAACUGACGCUGAGGCACGAAGGUCAGGGGAGCAAACGGG